CAGUCGCCGCGGUAAUACAGAGGGUGCGAGCGUUAAUCGGAUUUACUGGGCGUAAAGCGUGCGCAGGCGGUUCGUUAAGACAGAUGUGAAAUCCCCGGGCUUAACCUGGGAACUGCAUUUGUGACUGGCGGGCUAGAGUAUGGCAGAGGGGGGUAGAAUUCCACGUGUAGCAGUGAAAUGCGUAGAGAUGUGGAGGAAUACCGAUGGCGAAGGCAGCCCCCUGGGCCAAUACUGACGCUCAUGCACGAAAGCGUGGGGAGCAAACAGGAUUAGAUACCCCAGUAGUCUCUGUCUCUUAUAA
rnacentral:rRNA from 1 species